UUUUUCAUGUGAAAUUCUAAAACUUUAUUUUUUUUGGUUUUCUUUUUCUCUGUUCCGUUGCCCUUUCCCUCAAUCUUAACUGAGGUGAAAAGGGGAAGAGAGAAGGGAAUAAUAGGAAGGGGAAGAGGACCCCAAAAUUUCUUUUUCACGCCUUCAAAAUUGGGAGAAGGGGCGAGCAAAAAAGAAA
rnacentral:ribozyme from 13 species